rnacentral:rRNA from 1 species
CGUGUAGGCGGCCUCUUAAGUCUGAUGUGAAAGCCCGGGGCUUACCCCCGGAAGGGCAUUGGAAACUGGGAGGCUAGAGUACCGGAGAGGAAGGUGGAAUUCCUGGUGUAGCGGUGAAAUGCGUAGAUAUCAGGAGGAACACCGGUGGCGAAGGCGGCCUUCUGGACGGAUACUGACGCUGAGACGCGAAAGCGUGGGGAGCAAACAGGAUUAGAUACCCUGGUAGUCCACGCCGUAAACGAUGGGCACUAGGUGUUCGGGGUAUUGACCCCCUGAGUGCCGCAGCUAACGCAUUAGGUGCCCCGCCUGGGGACUACGGCCGCAAGGUUAAA